rnacentral:rRNA from 1 species
GACGAACGCUGGCGGCGUGCUUAACACAUGCAAGUCGAACGGUGAAGCGCCUUCCUUUUUGGUGGGUGUGGAUGAGUGGCGAACGGGUGAGUAACACGUGAGUAACCUGCCCCCUUCUUCUGGAUAACCGCAUGAAAGUGUGGCUAAUACGGGAUAUUCUGGGUCUGUCGCAUGAUGGGUCUGGGAAAGAUAUUGUUUCGGUGGUGGAUGGGCUCGCGGCCUAUCAGCUUGUUGGUGGGGUGAUGGCCUACCAAGGCGGUGACGGGUAGCCGGCCUGAGAGGGUGGACGGUCACACUGGGACUGAGACACGGCCCAGACUCCUACGGGAGGCAGCAGUGGGGAAUAUUGCACAAUGGGCGAAAGCCUGAUGCAGCGACGCCGCGUGAGGGAUGGAGGCCUUCGGGUUGUGAACCUCUUUCGCCAGUGAAGCAGGCCUGCCUCGUUUGUGGGUGGGUUGACGGUAGCUGGAUAAGAAGCGCCGGCUAACUACGUG